rnacentral:misc_RNA from 1 species
UUUUUUUUUUUUUUUUCCCUUUAAUGACUCUUUAUACGUGCUGUACUAUAAUACUUAUCCAAACAUAAACAUAAAUGAGGCAAACAUUAAAACACAACUCAACCAAUAUUCAAUCUUAGCCUUGUUGGGGUCAGCUAAAAGGAUCCUUUUCCUUCCAAUCUGCAAGGUUUAAGGGUGUAUUUGUAGAGAGGUCUAAUGCAUGAAUAAAUACAGAAAAAAGCGACUAAACUGGUCAACGGCUAAAAGUAAUUACUAAUUAAGGUUUAGACAGAAACCAAAACAAGAUGAUACUGCAGAAAUAUCAAUUAAAUUGCUCAUCAGCUAAAAGUAAUUGUUAAUCUGAAAAGCACAUUCAUGCAUAGAUUAUAUUUUAAUUUUAUUUCAUUUUAUUUUUGAAGGGGGUGUGUGGUGGCAGCAACCAGGAAAAGUACCAUUACAAAUAAUUCAAGAAGAUUAAG